rnacentral:rRNA from 1 species
CCUACGGGUGGCUGCAGUGGCGAAUAUUGGACAAUGGGCGAAAGCCUGAUCCAGCCAUGCCGCGUGUGUGAAGAAGGCCUUCGGGUUGUAAAGCACUUUCAGUGGGGAAGAAAGCCUUGGGGCUAAUACCCUCGAGGAAGGACAUCACCCACAGAAGAAGCACCGGCUAACUCCGUGCCAGCAGCCGCGGUAAUACGGAGGGUGCGAGCGCUAAUCGGAAUUACUGGGCGUAAAGCGCGCGUAGGCGGUCUGAUAAGCCGGUUGUGAAAGCCCCGGGCUCAACCUGGGAACGGCAUCCGGAACUGUCAGGCUAGAGUGCAGGAGAGGAAGGUAGAAUUCCCGGUGUAGCGGUGAAAUGCGUAGAGAUCGGGAGGAAUACCAGUGGCGAAGGCGGCCUUCUGGACUGACACUGACGCUGAGGUGCGAAAGCGUGGGUAGCAAACAGGAUUAGAUACCCUAGUAGUC